UACGGAGGGUGCAAACGUUGCUCGGAAUCAUUGGGCGUAAAGCGCACGUAGGUGGCUUGUUAAGUCGAACGUGAAAUCCCUGGGCUCAACCCAGGAACUGCGUCCGAUACUGGCAGGCUUGAAUUCGGGAGAGGGAUGCGGAAUUCCAGGUGUAGCGGUGAAAUGCGUAGAUAUCUGGAGGAACACCGGUGGCGAAGGCGGCGUCCUGGACCAAUACUGACACUGAGGAGCGAAAGCCAGGGGAGCAAACGGG
rnacentral:rRNA from 1 species